AACGUAGGAGACAAACGUUAUCCGGAGUUACUGGGCGUAAAGGGCGUGUAGGUGGUUUCGUAAGUCUGGCGUGAAAUUUUUCGGCUUAACCGGGAAAGGUCGUCGGAUACUGCGGAACUAGAGGACGGUAGAGGCGUGUGGAAUUCCGGGUGUAGUGGUGAAAUGCGCAGAUAUCAGGAGGAACACCAAUGGCGAAGGCAGCACUCUGGGACGUGACUGACGCUGAGACGCGAAAGCGUGGGGAGCAAACAGG
rnacentral:rRNA from 1 species